rnacentral:rRNA from 1 species
UACGGGGGGGCAAGCGUUGUUCGGAAUUACUGGGCGUAAAGGGCUCGUAGGCGGCCAACUAAGUCCGACGUGAAAUCCCAGGCUUAACCUGGGAACUGCGUCGGAUACUGGUUGGCUUGAAUCCGGGAGAGGGAUGCGGAAUUCCAGGUGUAGCGGUGAAAUGCGUAGAUAUCUGGAGGAACACCGGUGGCGAAGGCGGCAUCCUGGACCGGCAUUGACGCUGAACAGCGAAGCCAGGGAGCAAACGGG